GGGCAGCGGGGGCGGCGCUCGGCGGCUGCUGGGCGAUGCGGAGCUGCCCUAGGAUUUACUGAGGCUGUCGGGGAGCGUCUGGUUCUUCCCACACAGUGCGUUUGCUUUUAUCCAUGAAUGCAUCCAGCCGUGCUCACCGCCAGCGCUGUGAUUGUCACCGAGAGGAAGCAGCCCUGCUGCUCGGGGAGGCUGGACAGAAGGGAGGAAGGAAGAGGAGGAAGGGAUUCGAGCUUCAGGUUGCUUUUAUGGUAUGGGGCGAGGGGCAGCUCGUGCCUGGAGCUGUUCCUUCUUGGCCCGCAGCGGCAGGGCGACACGCUGGCCCAGUGACUCACGGAGAAAAUAUCCUUCAGGUACAGGAAACGAGGAGACAAACCAGCAAUCUUUUCCAUUCCCAUUUGUCAUGAGCUGUGUGAAU
rnacentral:lncRNA from 1 species